GAUGAACGCUAGCGGCAGGCCUAACACAUGCAAGUCGAGGGGUAGAAGCUUUCGGGCUUUGAGACCGGCGCACGGGUGCGUAACGCGUAUGCAAUCUGCCUUGUACUGAGGGAUAGCCCAGAGAAAUUUGGAUUAACACCUCAUAGUAUUUUUGCCUGGCAUCAGGUGAUUAUUAAAGGUUACGGUACAAGAUGAGCAUGCGUCCCAUUAGCUAGUUGGUAUGGUAACGGCAUACCAAGGCUACGAUGGGUAGGGGUCCUGAGAGGGAGAUCCCCCACACUGGUACUGAGACACGGACCAGACUCCUACGGGAGGCAGCAGUGAGGAAUAUUGGUCAAUGGUCGCAAGACUGAACCAGCCAUGCCGCGUGCAGGAUGAAGCAUCUAUGGUGUGUAAACUGCUUUUGUACGGGAAGAAACACCGCUACGUGUAGCGGCUUGACGGUACCGUAAGAAUAAGGAUCGGCUAACUCCGUGCCAGCCGCCGCGGUAAAAC
rnacentral:rRNA from 1 species